rnacentral:tRNA from 3 species
UCCUCGGUAGCUCAGUGGUAGAGCAAUCGGCUGUUAACCGAUUGGUCGCUGGUUCGAAUCCAGCCCGGGGAGCCA